rnacentral:lncRNA from 1 species
GGGGGUGAAUAGUGCGGCACGAGAAUAUUGAUAAAUAUUGCGGAAUUAAAAUUGCAGGAAUAAAAUAAAUUCGGUAAUUAAAACAGUAAGAAAAGAACACACCGAAUUUAUCCUGGUUCACCACAACUUAUGGUUAGUCCAGUCCCUGAGAGACUCUCUCGAGAUUCCACUAACUCCGUUAAGCGUACGGGUGCCUAACAAACCGUUACACUUGCUCGUAGAUGUACACUCUACAAGACUUCAACUUGCU